CUAUUACUUAUAAUAAGAGAGAAUUUAACAUUACAAAAAAAUCUUAACUUUUUUUUCAAGUAGUCACUGAACCAUGAAAAUGAGGUCAAGGACAUUGGACAUGUGACUGACGGAAACUUCGUAACAUGAGGCAUCUAUAUACAAAGUAUGAAGCAUCCAGGUCUUCCAUCUUCUAAAGAAGUUAGCUAAUGCCGCCGCCCUAGCCGCUGUAACCGCUGCAUCACUAUUCCUAUGUCAAGCUUUCUGCGACAAAAACUGAGUGAGAUCAGGAUUUUUGUAAGGGCUAGAAAAUCCUGAACUUUAUAAAUGAAAAAAAAACAAAAGAAAGAAGCAAAGCAAGACAGCUUUAUUAUUACAAUGACUUGAAGCCUUUUAAGCAUUGGUCACAAUACACUAUAAUCAAUAUUUUAGAGUUGCUAUAUGGCAACUGUUUAGCCAAAGAAUAUCAAGCAGUAAUACACCAAUACAUAUAUAUCUACCAGUAUAUAAUAUUUACAACAAUAUUUCAACAAUCAUGAUAUUAUGAUAUUAUUAUUAUUAUUCAUGAUCAUUAAUGAAGUGAAGCUACACUUGAGACACUCUUAAUAAAAGGGGGGUGCAUCUAUAAGUAGUUAAUUGGUGAUAUUAAUUUAUUUUAAAAAUUUCUAUUUUCUUAUAAAUCUGAAUGAAAAUGUAAACUUUUCUGAUGUUAAUGAAAUUAAAAAAAAAAAUACUUGCUUUCCUCAUUACAAAACAAUAAAGGGAUUUUUUUUUUUACUGCCUUAUGUAUAAGUUUAGAAAGUGUCAAAUGAACAAUAUUGAGAUAAUGUAAACCAAAUUGUUUUUGGUGAAUACUUUAUUUUGUGUUUUAGCCUUUACUAUUCAAAUUUGUAAUUUUCAAAUUUCAUUAAUGUAGUUAGACAAAGAAAAGAUCCCAGUUUUUAAUUUUCGCAACUAUUUCAACUGGACUUAUUUUUAUUCUCGCAAUAAACAGCAUGCAGAAAUUAGUUGGUUUACAGUAAUUAAUUCAGAAUGAAUGCUAUUGACAUAAGAUUAUCUCCCUUUUUCUACAAUGAGAAUGAAAAAUAUGAUGAAAAAAUAUUGACAAUUAUUCAUGAAAAAAUUACAAUUUAAAUCUUAAAAAAAAUAUAUAUGAUUAAAAAGAGAUGAUACAGUGACCCAUCAACAUGAAAAAUCCCAAUCACAUCUUCUGAAAUAAGUUUCUAUGGAUACCUUUCAUGUCAAAAACAUUGUUUACCAUGCUUUAUGGAUUACUAGGGUCAUGAAACAUGAUUGAAAUAAGAGCAUCAUGGUAAUAUUCAGAAACUAAUUAACAUUAAAAGUCAAAAUUGAUUUCUACUAAUUUUCAAUUAUAAAUGAUAUUUUAAUGAUAAAUUGAAAUUUCAUACCAUUAAGCUGCAGCAAAUGCCCAAAAUAAUGUACAGAGGCAGAUAUAGGGGUGAGGGGCCCUUUUAUGGGAUGUAAUGUGGUUGAUUACUUAAGGAAUCACUGAAGCAUGACUGGACUAAACCCCGUCUUAGACAAUCAGUGCCCCCACCCCCCUUUUUUCUGGAUCUGCCAAUAAUGUAUAUCAUAUAUUUAUAUAGUAACUCAUUUUUCUACAGCUAAUAUUAUUAAAGAUGUUUGUAUAUUCAAAUUGAUAAUUUACACAUUUCAAAAUAAUAAGAAACCUAUUUGUAAUAAGAAAAUCUAAUCCAUCAAAAAGUUUUGUGUUAAAAAAAAUCUUAAACUAUGAACAGAACUACCCUAUAUUAAAACCCAAAAGACAGUCAAGUAUAAUUUCAUAUACAUGUAUCAAGAACAAGAGGCUGAAAAAGAAAAGAGGAAACAAGGUAAAAUUAGCCAACUUUGUGUAAAAAUGAGGUUCUUUAUUUCAUAAUUCUCAGGAAACCACCUCCCAUUAACUCUUGGAAUCACUCCUGAGAAUUAUUAGGGGAAAAAAAUCAAGUACACUUUAAACUGCCAAAAACUUAAAUAAAAUAUAAUUGAACGCUAUUUUACUAUUUCCUCCUUUCAUCUUACUCACUGAUAAUUACCUUUCUCAGUACAGUAGAAAGAUAUGAAAAAUUAUCGCUAGAAAUUCUGAGGCCCGUUCCGUUGUCAAUGUAAACAUCAACGCUGUCAUAGGCAUAAUAGCGAUUAACAAAUUAUCAUUGGUCAACUCAACUUGAUUUUUUUCCCCUUUUGCCAUACUGGCUCAAGUGAGAUGACCAACUAUAAUCUUUAAAUAAAAUCAAAACAGAUCAUCCAUCUAAGGAAAUGAAGAUUUAGGUGGCCGCUUUUCUAAUUUAUUUUUUGGAAUUAUCUGUUUGUGGUCUAAUUCUACGGAGUAAAAAAUUAAAUAAAAAAGAAAAGUUUUGAAAAUAAAGUGUAAUUGCUCUGCACACAGAAAUGUGAUAAGAAAAAAAUAUACAAUAAUAACAAAGUUAUUUUUUUCUAUCUAUAUUUUCUAUAUUUUUUGUACAUUUGUGACCCCAAUAAUGCAAAAAAUACACACACACAUUAUAUACAUAAGACAAUGAACAAACUUGUAAAAAGUUUUGAUUUCAUAAAUGCACCAAUUUAAGUUCUUAACAAAAACGAAUAACCUAAACAAUGAAAUGUGAGUAAUAAAAGUACUGAAAAGUUAUAUAAUAAUGAUAGCACCAUCUAGAAUGUUGCAUUAUGGAUAAAAAAAAAAUACAUGACAUUUUUCAUUAAAUAAUGCAAUCAUCACAUCAACUAUAGCACUAAAAAAUUAGAUUCUGGAUUUUUUUCUGUAUGAAUAUUUUUUUUUUAUAAAUUCUACCGAAAUAUAUCUGGUUUUUUUUUUUGUAUUUUAAUUACACUCAGGCAGUUUUUCUAAGUGGAUAAAAUUUGAACCUGUCUACUGCACUGAUAAAAACUCUUGUGAAAAAGAAGGUGCAUGUAGCCUAAUUUACUAAAUACAAAUUCAUAAUGGAAUGAAUAAGAAUAAUAAAACCGGGGGAAAAAAAUCACAUGCAAUUUGUCUCAAAGACUAUAACUAUUUACAGGAAAUAUACAUAUAUUAUGAUAUCUAUCAACAGAUAGAAACCAUUUAGAAAUUAAAUGUCACACCUCAAUUUUAACAAUUUUAUUAAAGAAUUCAUUAAUGUUGUCUGCAAUUCAAUUAACCAAUCAAUUCAUUGCAUUUUAUUUCUGUAAUUCAAUUAACCAAUCAAUUCGUUGAAUUUUAAGUCUGUAUUUCAAUUAACCAACUAAUUCAUUGAAUUUUAGGCCUGUAAUUCAAUUGUCCAAUCAAUUCAUGAUAUGUGCCUUUUAGUUCGUUUAAACAUAUUUAUUCAUAGUGGAUUGAGAAACAAGUUAUUGCAACUUUGUAGUGUCUUGCAAACAAUUAAUCAAAAUUUAACUUUAAGGUGGAUUUUUCUUAUAGUAGCAUGUAAGCCUAUUGUUUAAAUGACUUGGAAACACAUUAAACCAUCAUAAUCCUGUGGAACUGUGCAAAAAGGUGACUCAUGACGAAAAUGAUGUUCCAAUACUUAAAACUGCAAUAAUUUGAUCCUAAUGGUAUCUAAACUAAUUAUCACCAUAAAUAUAUCAUUCAGGAAAAAGGUGUUAGCAUAGAAAUUAACAUGAUUCUUUAAAAGGUUGAGAAGUCAAGGUCAAAUACGAAUAUUAAAGAGUUUAAUUUUGUGGUACCUAAUUGUUAAUUCAGCUGAUAUUUUAUAAGUGAGAAUGAACAUAAUUUUUAUUCAGAUAAAAGUUUACACAUAUUUAAUGAAACCCAAUGUGUUGCUGUCUGAUCUAUUAAAGAUGUUAAUUUAUUCAGAAAAUGGAAAAUAUAAACUUAAGUACCCAAGCUGUUUCUUGUGCACUUACGAUGAACUUCAAUUUUGUCUUACAGAUGACCUUUUCAUUAAAAUUACUGGAUUUUAUCUGAAUAUUAAACUGAUUCAUGUUUUUAAAACAUCAAUAAUCUUUUUUAUAAAUUAUGAUAAAGUCUAACAAAACAUAGAUUUAUAAAUCUGUAAAUUAUACAAUUAAAUAAAUGUUACUGUACAAUUAUAUAGUUUUUUACAGUAGGUAUGACCUUUUCCUUAAAAAAUAUUAUAAAUAUUUUUUUAUAUAUUUAUAAUGGCAAAAGAGUUCAACAUUUAUGUCAAGCAGUCUUCUUGAAUAGCCUGUGCAAAAGGUGAAAAUGACAAAAUAAUGGGUUUAGAAUUCUGUGAAAUGAUUCUACUGGAUUUCUAGGAAAAUUUGAACACUACUUAAAAUGUUGUGAAGUAUUUUAGUUUACAUUCUGAUGUCAAUGAUGUUUCCAAAUGCUAAUCUUUUAAGGUGGAACCUAACACUACAGGGAGAUAACUCUGUAAAGUCAGCUAAACGUUUUAAUUAUGUUGUGUUGUAAAAGGAAUAUUAAGCUUAUCAAUGAUCAAAAUUGGUGUUUGUCAAAUUGCUAUAUAACCAGUAUAAUUUUUCUGGCAAAACGGUUGGUUCAAAAAAUUUUAAAUUUUUAUAUUUUUGUUAAAGUGUCAAAGUUAAUACUUUGACAAAAUUUUAUGAAAAUUAAACGAGCCAAAUUGAUUUUAGUGAAAGUGUUGGGUACCACCUUAAAAAUAACCCUAAAUAUGCUUUGUGUGGUGACUCUAAUUUGCUAUGGUGUGCCUGAUGCUAAGAAAAGCUCUUACUGAAAUAUAAGAUUCAGUUUUCUUACUUUUUAACCCUGCAUUCAGUUCCAAAUUAUUCCAUACAUAAUUUUAAAAAACUUCAUCAAAAAGAAUAGUUAAGAUAAAUAAUCAAUUAUGUUGAUUACAUUUUGAUAUAUUUUAAGUUGAUAUUCAACAAAAAAUCAUGCUGGCACAUUCUAUGAAAUGGACCAGGAACCAGUUUUCAUAUGAUAUGAAAGCUUGUAACAACACUAAGUGAUGUGGCAUAUAUGAUUUUAGACAGUAUAAAAAGACAACUUAUAAUAUUGUCAACCUACUGUGAAUAAAAUAAAACUUACAUCUAAUAUAAACUUUAUAAUCUGUCGAGUCAACAGGCAUUCGCAUAAAUAUAAACAUCGUAAACAAUUUAUACAAUAUAUUUAAGGACAUCCAUUUAUAAAUAAGUACUUUUUCUCAAUUCUAAUUACC
rnacentral:lncRNA from 1 species